rnacentral:other from 1 species
GGAUUCCUGGUGUAUUUGCCAGGCAUAACGUCCUCGAGCCGAUAAUUGUACUACCGGGGGCUGCCAACUUCUGCUGUUGUGCAUGUCCGGUACAAUCCGGAAAGCCUGAAGCAGUCAGGCGCCACCACCUUGAACCAUCGGGUUCAAGGGCAACUUUGCUAGCGGUACACUGGGAAUCCA